rnacentral:rRNA from 1 species
UUACGACUACAUAUCAGGCAUAUCAAUAAGCGGAGGAAAAGAAACUAACAAGGAUUCCCUUAGUAACGGCGAGUGAAGCGGGAAGAGCUCAAAUUUGAAAUCUUCAAGGUUUUACCUUGACGAAUUGUAGUUUAAAGAAGUGUUUUCUGUUGAAGUUUUGGUAAAAGUUCUUUGGAAUAGGACAUCAUAGAGGGUGAGAAUCCCGUAUUUGGACCAUUAUUUUCAGCUGUGUGAUACACUUUCAAAGAGUCGGAUUGUUUGGGAAUGCAGUCCAAAAUGGGUGGUAAAUUUCAUCUAAAGCUGAAUAUUGGCGAGAGACCGAUAGCGAACAAGUACCGUGAGGGAAAGAUGAAAAGAACUUUGAAAAGAGAGUUAAACAGUACGUGAAAUUGUCAAAAGGGAAGCGUUUGACACCAGUGUUGUUUUCUCGAAAAUCAAUUAAAAAGAGUUGGAUUUUGUGUUGUAUUGACCUUAACAGCUUGCUUCACUCUUUUCCAGCUUUUUUUAAUGCACUUUUCGUUUAACAAGUCAACAUCAGUUUCUUUUGUUGUAAAAGGGUCAUUGGAAGGUGGCUUUCUCUUCGGAGAAAGUGUUUAUAGCCUUUGAUCUCUGCAAUCGGAGAGACUGAGGUCUGCAGCGUAGAUCCUUCGGGGUCAGAUACAUUUGUGCUAAGCUACAGCUUUUCAUAGACAACUUGUUGACUAUGUUUAGUCUUGUGACUUACCCGCUUAUGCUAUUUUACCUACGCUUAGGAUGUUGAGCGCAUGUCUCUCUCU